rnacentral:rRNA from 1 species
CCUACGGGUGGCAGCAGUGAGGAAUAUUGGUCAAUGGUCGUAAGCCUGAACCAGCCAAGCCGCGUGAGGGAUGAAGGUUCUAUGGAUCGUAAACCUCUUUUAUCAGGGAAUAAAGACUGGGACGCGUCCCGGUAUGUAUGUACCUGAUGAAUAAGCAUCGGCUAACUCCGUGCCAGCAGCCGCGGUAAUACGGAGGAUCCGAGCGUUAUCCGGAUUUAUUGGGUUUAAAGGGUGCGCAGGCGGCCUUUUAAGUCAGCGGUGAAAGCCUGGGGCUCAACCAUAGAAUCGCCGUUGAAACUGGCAGGCUUGAGUAUGUGAGAAGCAUGCGGAAUGCGUGGUGUAGCGGUGAAAUGCUUAGAUAUCACGCAGAACCCCGAUUGCGAAGGCAGCCUGCCGGGCCAUGACUGACGCUGAUGCACGAAAGCGUGGGGAUCAAACAGGAUUAGAUACCCCGGUAGUC